UGGGGAAUAUUGCACAAUGGGCGCAAGCCUGAUGCAGCCAUGCCGCGUGUAUGAAGAAGGCCUUCGGGUUGUAAAGUACUUUCAGCGGGGAGGAAGGGAGUAAAGUUAAUACCUUUGCUCAUUGACGUUACCCGCAGAAGAAGCACCGGCUAACUCCGUGCCAGCAGCCGCGGUAAUACGGAGGGUGCAAGCGUUAAUCGGAAUUACUGGGCGUAAAGCGCACGCAGGCGGUUUGUUAAGUCAGAUGUGAAAUCCCCGGGCUCAACCUGGGAACUGCAUCUGAUACUGGCAAGCUUGAGGCUCGUAGAGGGGGGUAGAAUUCCAGGUGUAGCGGUGAAAUGCGUAGAGAUCUGGAGGAAUACCGGUGGCGAAGGCGGCCCCCGGGACGAAGACUGACGCUCAGGUGCGAAAGCGUGGGGAGCAAACAGG
rnacentral:rRNA from 1 species